rnacentral:rRNA from 1 species
GACGAACGCUGGCGGCGUGCUUAACACAUGCAAGUCGAGCGGUAAGGCCCUUUCGGGGGUACACGAGCGGCGAACGGGUGAGUAACACGUGGGUGACCUGCCCUUAGCUCUGGGAUAAGCCUGGGAAACUGGGUCUAAUACCGGAUAUGACUCCAUGACGCAUGUUGUGGGGUGGAAAGCCUUGUGCGGCUAGGGAUGGGCCCGCGGCCUAUCAGCUUGUUGGUGGGGUGAUGGCCUACCAAGGCGACGACGGGUAGCCGGCCUGAGAGGGCGACCGGCCACACUGGGACUGAGAUACGGCCCAGACUCCUACGGGAGGCAGCAGUGGGGAAUCUUGCGCAAUGGCGAAAGCCUGACGCAGCGACGCCGCGUGAGGGAUGACGGCCU